rnacentral:misc_RNA from 1 species
GGACUACUGGGGUUUCUAAUCCUGUUUGCUCCCCACGCUUUCGCACCUGAGCGUCAGUCUUUGUCCAGGGGGCCGCCUUCGCCACCGGUAUUCCUCCAGAUCUCUACGCAUUUCACCGCUACACCUGGAAUUCUACCCCCCUCUACAAGACUCUAGCCUGCCAGUUUCGAAUGCAGUUCCCAGGUUGAGCCCGGGGAUUUCACAUCCGACUUGACAGACCGCCUGCGUGCGCUUUACGCCCAGUAAUUCCGAUUAACGCUUGCACCCUCCGUAUUACCGCGGCGGCUGGCAC